GUAGGGAAUAUUGGACAAUGGGCGAAAGCCUGAUCCAGCCAUGCCGCGUGAUAGAUGAAGGCCCUCUGGGUUGUAAAUAUCUUUUAUCUGGGAAGAAACUCCUCUAUUCUUAGAGGCCUGACGGUACCAGAGGAAUAAGCACCGGCUAACUCCGUGCCAGCAGCCGCGGUAAUACGGAGGGUGCAAGCGUUAUCCGGAUUCACUGGGUUUAAAGGGUGCGUAGGCGGGUUGAUAAGUCAGUGGUGAAAGCUCCGGGCUUAACUUGGAAACUGCCAUUGAUACUGUCAGUCUUGAAUGUCGUAGAGGUAAGCGGAAUGUUGCAUGUAGCGGUGAAAUGCUUAGAUAUGUUACAGAACACCAAUUGCGAAGGCAGCUUACUAUGCGAUAAUUGACGCUGAGGCACGAAAGCGUGGGGAGCAAACAGGAUUAGAUACCCGUGUAGUCC
rnacentral:rRNA from 1 species